AUUCACUCUGCUGGAGUUUCGUAAGCAAGCCCAGGAUGCAGGUGUGUAACCGGAAUGUAUGAGGGUUUUAUCGCCAAGAAUUUCAGAGUUUGCUGUCAUUUUGCAUAUGGACAUAAGGUCCCAUGGAGUUCGGUGGACCAGGGGUUCCGUUGACCAGAGACCUUCUCCAACCUCAGAGAGCACUACAACCAAGAACCACUGUGACACAGGCUGCCAAGAGUCCUUGUUUUCCAUGGGACCAACAUGUCAGCAAGAUACAGAUCGACGUGGCAGCAAGCAGGAGUUGAAAACAUUCACUGAUGGUAAGAAAUCUGAUGUAAAUGGCCUACUGAAUCCAAACUGAUGUUCCUCAGAUGCUUUGCUGCUCCGCCCAGGUGCAAACCAGUAUCUUCCUUAGGCAAUGGGAUGUAUAGCAAGAAAAACUGCUGGUACAGAAAACAUAGGCUGCUUGGGGACAGUCGUCAUUGCCUGACAAGAAAUGUGACUUAAAACACCAUACACACUUGGUAGAGCACUGAUCUUCUAAACUGGAGAAUGUUACAAAGACGGCAGAAGCAUAAUGACAGAAGCAAACAUAGAAAUGUAAAGGAGUGGGAAAAAUAAUAUGAGGAAGGAGUGCACAUUAAGCAGCCAAAAAGACAUUACUUUGCUGUGAAGGAGUUGAACAUUAUUGGUGAAAAGCCUAUUCUCUUUCAGCGGAAGAAUGAAGGCAGGAAUAACAAAUUAAAAAGCAAUAUGCAACAUAUGGGAAAAAGAAAGAGGUAAUAAAGAUCCAUAUAGAUAAGAGCUUAUGAAGUGUAGAAAAUUGGUAAAGGAUACUAAAGAUAUCAGAAUAAAAUCCAUGGCUGAUCUGGCUACGUUUUGGAAGAAGUGUUUCUUGAAAGCUUAUUAGUAAUAGCAGAAAAAACUAUCAGUGUCAUAGACUCAUUACUAACUAGAGACAGCAAGUCAUUAGUAACAAUGAAGAAAGAGGCAAAAUAGUUCAACAAUUAUUUCUGUAUUCUGUUAGAGUAAUGCAUCUUUGGAUAUAUUAAUAAUUAGGAAAGACACUGAACAACUUGUACCAAAGUUAAACAUUAUCAAAAUCGUAAGGUCCAAAAAAGCAAUCCCCAAUAGUGUGGAAACCUGCAAAGGUCCUUGUCAAUACUGAGUAAAACUUCCAAGGCAAAUGAAAUCACCCAGGUAAAUACAGUCCAACUUGGUACUAAUCUCAGGCAAAGUAAUGGAGUAAUUGGUGGAAGAUCUAAUUAAUAAAGCAUUUAAAGAUAAGACUGUAAUUAAUGCAAUCUUACUGACAAGGGAUUGCAAUUUCAGACUGGGACACAUAGUUGACAGGGAGUAACCAGGAGCAAUCUGUUCAAAACUGGGGGACAGAAGGAGAAACUUCUAAAUUUGGUGAUGAGGUAAGGCUGCUUUAAGGGCUGGAACCCAAGCAGAGAGGCAAGGCAGGGUCCGGUGGGAAAAGCAGCAGCUGACUAUUCCAUGGGCAACUGCAUUGUCACAUGCAUGCAGUUUGUGUGAAAGGCAAGCUUCUGGCUUUUGACUUGCAGUUCUUUAAUAUAGAAAAAUCAUUCAGGUAAAUAAAUUAUGUGAUUAUGAAGCAAUCUGCAAAGAUAUAAAUGAAGCAGCAGCAGGAAACAAGGCAGGAUAGGCUGUUUCUGGAAGCGAGGGGAGCAAUGAGGCUGUGGGAUGUUCAGUUGGCAAAGAAAUAGAGGAUAAAGAGAAGAGAGGGAAAGGGGCAAGCAAUACAGGUUUUAGAGGCUACAUAAAAUGUCCUUAACCAGCUUUCAUGAAAAACUGAGUGUGUGACUGAACUCCCCUCCUAAAAGAGUGCUCCAGCAGAUUAACAGGAAUACAAUGAAGGGUCAUUUUUUUUUCUCUUGGAGCUAUUGAAUUUUUUCCUUUCAUUGAAUCAGUACAUUGCAGAUUUUGCUUAUCAAAAGUCCUCUAGUGCUGUUUGAUGAUGAGCCAUAUUCUGCCUUGACUUCCAUCCCAGGCAUCCCCACUAAGUUCAGUGAUGUCUUGUGGAGAAUAAAGCAAGGCAGACGUUAGCUUGAUGUCUUUAACAGUGUUGCAGCUGCUAAUGAAGCACGAUCCGAUGUGGUACGUUUGGAGACUGUCACUGAAGUGUGGUAGAAUAGACAGUCUCUGCUGCCUCUGCAAUUGAUUUAUCAAGUGCACUAUGUGUAUAGGAAAUUGGAACAUCUAUUCUCUUCUGUUUGGUUUUGUUGCCAUUGAUGAGUCACAUGGAUAAAAGAUACAAGAAAUAUUUCGGGAAUUUUUGGCAAUGAAAUGGUUUUCCUUUUCUCCCACUCCUUCCCCACCCAAAAGUAAUAGAGCUGUCAGGCUUAUUAGAUAGCACAGUCAAGUUUUAAAAAGUAAAGAAUGGGAGUAUUGCUUUUAUAAGAAAGAGCUGUAGACCUGGAAAUGAUCCAUAUUUGGAAUAUAAAUGCAAGCUGUUAUGCAGACCAAAGUAUCUAUUUGGAGCCAAAUUACUCAACAACAUCUAUCUAUGCCUCUUCAACACCUGCAGAUUAGCAGUGUAAUCUUGUGGAGGUUGCUAUAGCUACGUCUCUGGAGCAGGUGGAGUUCUUCAUCUCUGGGAGCACUGCUAUGUUCAUUCUUUGCAAAUAAGCCACCUAAGGGUAUGUUUAAAAUGUCACCCUGGUGGCGUCAGUCCCUAUCUCUCUGACACUGUCACAUCAGAUCUGUUCUUAUCCGAUUGAGCCCAGCUGUUUUCUUAAGAAACAAUACUGCUUCCAUCAAAGUGUACUGCCUUCUCCAUGACCACGUGUGCCUGGGCACCAGGUUUUGCCAAUCCAGACCUACUCAGGCCAUAAAGCACAUCUUUGAGGUUAAGCUGGGGAGGACAGCCCAGGUUUAUCUUGCAGUUGUGUAGUCUUGUCUAGGCUUGUAGCACACACAACUGUAAGUUAGCACAGAGCAAAACUACCAGCCUUCAGCAACAACACUAGUCAGGGCCUACAAGUAGUCCCUGGCUUCAGUCAGGUAGUAAGAGUGGUGCUAACUAUGAGGAUUUUGUGUACCCUUGUCUUCCAUCAUGGGCUUUGCUUUUACACUGAAUACUUGAUCCUUCUUGCUUGGGCUCUCCUGUCAUUUGCCACAGCAAAGAGUUGCCCACAUGACCCUGCUUUCCAUUUGUCUGUCUGCAGUGACUGGCAUAGCUAUAACCCUUAACCUUCUGCCAAUCAAGCCCACAUCAUGCUAACCUUUGUGAAAAUGUAAUAGGAAUCUCUGGUCGAAAAGCUGAUAUCCUGGAAAAAGAGCCCUGACAAGCAUUAAAAUAAAUGACAAAAGGCUAAGAAGAAGAAGCACCAAAGACUAGAAAAUAAACAAAUCAGGAUACUUUGACUUGUCUGAUUUUGUCAUUCUCCUUGUUUCUCUUUUGCUUUAGUUGUAUAUGAAGUGCAGGCUUUUCAUUCCCCAGUGAAGGUAGGGAAAGAGAGAUUUCCUACCAAAACCUGUCAACAACAGCAACAAUAACAGAGGAUGUUUUCCCUCCUUGGCAAAUUUUAAUUUCUACAGUAGAAAGCUGAAUAUCAGAAAAUGCUCCAAACAUAGUAACGCUUCAGUAGGUUUCAGAAAAGAAAGUUCCAGACUUCCCCAGAAAGAAAGACAGAAAAGAAAGAAUAAUAUUUUUGCCAAGCAGCAGAGUGACCAACUUUAUGCUCAGCACCACAUUUUCCAUUCAUUGCUUUUCCUUCCAGUUUAUUUUGUCUCUUGUCAUGUCUCUGAUACACUGUCUUUUUAACUUCCAAAUUCCUGAAAUAUGUCCGCUCCACAGAGCCUCCUAACUUUUGUCCUCCCCAAAACUAGCGCUGUGAAAUUUAUUUCCAAAAGUUCAGGCAUAUAAAAAUAUGCCACAUUGCCUUGAGACACAUCCAUCUCUGGGUCAAUUGGUGUCUUACGCAUCACGACUGUAUUUCUCUUACCCUAAAGGCAACUUCUAUAUUCCAGUUCUCCAGACUACUGGUAAAAUAAACCAGGGAAAAUGAUGAAGAGGCCACUCGUUAUGAUGCAGGCUGCUUAGGGACUGGUCUUUCCACUUAUUUCAGGAAUGGCUGCUGAAAAAGGUGAGUAAGACAGGCAGUGUGGAGGAAAUCUUGUCAGUCCUGCCUUUCUUCUGAGUCAGACUUGUUCAUAGCUGGUGAUCAAAACUUUCCAAAAGCAGGGAUGUGUGCUCUGCCUUUGAAAAGAGCUAUCAGUCCAAAACAGAGAAAUGAAGGCAGCCACAGUCCCGUGUGCUAUGAGAGAACGGGCUCCUGUCUGGGUGCUGAAUUCCCAUUAGCACCGAGCCAUCGCUCAGCGAUAAUUAAGCCAUAGCGGCAAUGCGGCUUGCGAAAUGUGUGCCCACACACACAUAGAUAUGAAAAUGGAUGGCUUUUGUGUUUCCCAAGAUUCAUGUCCAGAAUCGGGUGUCUGGGGGUUUUUUUGUUUG